UACGUAGGGGGCAAGCGUUGUCCGGAUUUAUUGGGCGUAAAGAGCGUGUAGGCGGUUUGGUAGGUCCGUUGUGAAAACUCGAGGCUCAACCUCGAGACGCCGAUGGAAACCAUCAGACUAGAGUCCGGAAGAGGAGAGUGGAAUUCCUGGUGUAGCGGUGAAAUGCGCAGAUAUCAGGAAGAACACCAACGGCGAAAGCACUCUGCUGGGCCGACACUGACACUGAGAGACGAAAGCUAGGGGAGCGAAUGGG
rnacentral:rRNA from 1 species